rnacentral:rRNA from 1 species
UACGGGGGAUGCAAGUGUUAUCCGGAAUAAUUGGGCGUAAAGCGUCUGUAGGUGGUUGACCAAGUCUGUUGUUAAAAAAUCAGGGCUUAACCCUGAUCCGGCAACAGAAACUAGUAAACUUGAGUACGGUAGGGGCAGAGGGAAUUCUCGGUGUAGUGGUGAAAUACGUAGAUAUCGAGAAGAACACCAAUAGCGAAAGCACUCUGCUGGGCCGAAACUGACAUUGAGAGACGAAAGCUAGGGGAGCAAAAGGG